CCUGGGUGGGAGCUCGGCGCCCCUCCGGCCUUAUCCCCUCUCUGCCUCCCCGCCUUGGCUUGUGCUGCCGGUAGAUUGUCCGUCUGUCUGUCUGUCUGGCCUGGCCCGUGCACUCUCAUUGUCUGUGCCCGGUCUAUCUGGCCCUGUCCCUAAACCCUCCGUCUGUCUGUCCCCCCGUCUGUCCGUCCUGCCCCAAGACCCUCCGUCUGUCUGUCCCCCCGUCUGUCCGUCCUGCCCCGAGACCCUCCGUCUGUCCAUCCUGCCCCUAGACCCUCCAUCUGUCCGUCCCCCCGGUAUGUCUGUCCUGCCCUGAGACCCUCCGUCUGUCUGCCCCCCUGUCUGUCCGUCCUGCCCCAGACCCUCUGUCUGUCUGUCUGUCCCCCCGUCUGUCCGUCCUGCGCGGAGACCCUCCGUCUGUCUGUCCGUCCCCCCGUCUGUCCGUCCUGCCCCAGACCCUCCGUCUGUCCAUCCUGCCCCUAGACCCUCCAUCUGUCCGUCCCCCCGGUAUGUCUGUCCUGCCCUGAGACCCUCCGUCUGUCUGCCCCCCUGUCUGUCCGUCCUGCCCCUAGACCCUCCGUCUGUCUGUCCCCCCGUCUGUCUGUCUCUGUCCCCCCCUCUGUCUGGCCCUGCUGGUAGAUUAUCUGUACCCCCUGUCUGUCUGUCUCUGGCUUCCUGUCUGUAUGUCACUGGCCCGUAGAGUUUCAUUGCAUGUUCCUCCAUCUGUCUGUGCCUUUGAUUCUCGCCGUGCCUACUCCUGUCCUGUUGUCCCUCCCUUUGACUUUCCCUCUGUCUGUCCUACAGUCUGACUCUGAAAUAGAGGUUUUGCACAUUGCUGCAUCGUCCCCCAGAACGAUAAUGUUGUGGCAGGUCACAUCCCACCGCAGCGCAGUCUUGCUUCAAUAGUUGAGAUGCUUCCGUGCAUGUCACAAGACGAGAAAGUCUGGACAGUCCUGCAAACGAGACUCCUGAAGCAUUGGUGCCUGAAUUCACUUGGAUCUGCUGGAUAACAACAAUUGAUGCAUAAGACCUUCAAGAAGUACCACAACACCAGAGGACACAACAGUUUAUUGAAGGACAGUUUGUUGAGGGACAUAGUGUGACGGACAGACAGUUUCCUGCAACAUCCUGGGCAAACCUUAUGGAAUUAAGAUAAACUUUACUGAACUAAAUUAAACCUGAUUGAAUUAGGUUUAAUACUUUUCUGAUCCAUUGUAUUAAAAAUACAAUUGUGUAUGUGCUCGUGUGGAAUUGUAUGUAACUCCUCUAAGAGGAGGAGGAUGCUCAUGAAAUUUCUCUGGUUAUUAGCCCCUUUGAAGCCACCCUCUGGAGAGGUGUGCUUAUACUAGUUCAAACUGGAUUCUCCAGGGACCAACAAACAAAGAAAUGACUAAUGGAUUAGUAGCCUGGCUUUACACAGUCUGAAGGACUUCUUCCUGAUCAAGCAAAUGGACAGGAUGUCUGGUCCGCAGAGGGCCCCAAUCCUUAGGGAAAGGUUGGAAGAAAUGGGCCUAUUGAGGCCCCACAAGACUGUGUGCGCCUGUUCUGAGCUGAAGCUGUGAUGAACUUGAGCCCACAAGGAAACCCAUUGGGUGGGGUGUUGAAGAACGGCUCCUGCAAGAGCUCAUGUUGGGGUUGGGGUGAUCUCUGGUAAGCUUAUUAGCAUGCA